rnacentral:rRNA from 1 species
UACGUAGGAUCCAAGCGUUAUCCGGAAUCACUGGGCGUAAAGCGAGUGUAGGCGGUCUCCUAAGUCGGGUGUGAAAGCCCCGGGCUCAACCCGGGAAGUGCACUCGAAACUGGGAGGCUAGAGUAUCGGAGAGGUUGGUGGAAUUCUCGGUGUAGAGGUGAAAUUCGUAGAUAUCGAGAGGAACACCGGUGGCGAAGGCGGCCAACUGGACGAAUACUGACGCUGAGACUCGAAAGCGUGGGGAGCAAACAGG